GAUACAGAAAUGCCUGGUAAGCCCUAGCUUGUUCUCACUCUCCUGUCUUCCAGGCCCAGAUCUUUAGCUAUGACCUUGUAGAGGUGAUAGUUAUGUAGAGGCAAUAGCUCUCCAUAGACCUCUCCAUGAGCUUUAUUCAUGGUCCCCUUCAGUGACUGUAAAUUCUUGGCUUCUCAGUGUCCAUGCAAGCUGCAAUUUGUCCAGUUAAGUUAGUCCAUCUGAAGGACUAAUUGGGGACCCAGCCCCAACUACCAAGCCAGAUCUUCAUUUUUCCAAGCACCCCCCAUAUUUGUGUAAAGUCUAAUUCCUACAAUAUUCGUCUUAUUCCCAUAAUAAUCAGAGGGGUUCUGUUGAACCCAGAUGGCUAUAUUUUUUGCUUAAAGUCUGACUAAUCACUUAGGCAUCUUCCAACCACAUAGUGUACAAUUAGUGACCCCUCUGGCUCCAGCACUCUUUAUUCUCUUUACUAUGCCUUACUUUUUUACUUAUUUACUUGUGUAUUUCUUUUCUGUGUCUUUCUUUCUGACUAGAGUGUAAGCUCCAUGAGGGCAGACACUUUGCCUGUUAUGUUCACUGCUGUAUCCCUAGUGCCUAGCACAGUGUAGGUGCCCAAUAAAUAUUUUGAGUGAAUGAGUUUAUUACUUUCAUUUGUCUUAUGUUAAAUAGGAUUUUAUUAAAAACAUUUCUGCUACUAAAAAAGUUUGAAAUUGCUGUAUUGGACUUUGUUUAAGGAACUGGGUGUAUAGAGAUGAACAUUGUUUAUGGGCACAUAGUAGGUGUUUAAUGAAUAUUUGUUACAUGAACAUGAAUAAAUUAAUGAGUGAAUGAAUAAAUAGCUUUUACUUAAAGGAGCUCACAGUAUCCCCGAUGUUGUUGGGGAAUAGGGCAUAAAAAUAAAAGAUACCAGAGGUUCACAAAAUACAUUUUGAUUAAAUGUCACAUGGCCAAAUGUCAAAAUCAAUAUCAGCUUAAAGCUUACUAGUAUUGUCACAGAAGAGGAAAUUCUGAAAGGCAAAGUUUUAAAUAUCAUUAAAAAUUAUGACCCAUUAUUAAAUUUUUUUGGUAAUUAAACUUUAAAUGUUUGAUAACUAAAGGUAAAAGCAAUAAUUUCUCAGCCCUUCCAAUUGUCCUAAUUUUACUUAAACUUCUAGAAAAGUUUUAGGUUAAAAAACUGUAACAUGCCUUUCCUAAAACUAACUAAAGGACUCUCAAUACUCACAGUAUACAUCAAUAUAAUUUCCCUUUAUACAUACUUGAAAAUUUGAAAAGAUACGAAUAGCUUUUAUAGUAAACCUUGACUUGCCAUAUUUACUUUUACAGUAAUAAUUAUACCGACAUAUUGAUAGAUUGUCACAUAAAGCGCAGUAGAUUUUGUUUUACUUCUAAGUUACAUCUAGAAUGGUUAUCAGUAUUUGAAAAUGGUUAACCAGAUAUUAAAAAUUAAUGCAAAAGACUUGCCCUGUUGGAAUUAGCAAUGUUAGCAGAUAAGAUAUUGGCUUACACAGUCAUGCAAUCAUGUGCAAGUUCAGGAUACCAGAGGUGAUAUCGAGUCAAGACCCAAGGUCAGGGCUGGGGCUGAAAGAAAUAUUUGCACCAAAGCCUGAGGCAGAAGCUAAGCUUUCAUGCAUUCCUAGAUAAUACCUUUCAUUUUUAUAGCAUUUUGCAUUUUUGAGAGCUUUUUUCUGCAAACUCUCAUCUUCUCAACCACAGUUUUGGGGGAGAAUGUAGACAGGGUAGCUAUCAUUUAAGUCAUGUGAUGAAUGAGGAGACUGAGGUUCAGAGACUUGAAGUGACUUGAUGUGGUAGGAGUGACCUGAGCUGGUUUUCUGACAGUAUUUUCUGGGUUCUUUGUUCCACUGUCCUGUGUUGAGGGGCCCUUCACUAUCUUAACCAGGGUUCUCUGGAAAGCAGAACCUAAAACAAAGACUUGUGUGCAGGUAAUUUAUUUGGAAAUGAUCUUAGGAAAGAGUUAGGAAUGAGGGGCUAAGGAGAGAGAUGGGGAAGGAGAAAGCCAUUAAGCUCGCCACUGCUUUGGAUGGCUAGCAAUGGACCCCAUGAGACUUUGGGGUCAAUUCUCCAAACUUCCAAGGGGGAUGCAAGGCAGAAACAUGGAAAUACUAGAUCAGAGUGGCCCUAUAGGUUUCAGCCUUCACCCCUUCGUUCUGGGUUGCACAUAUGAGAAUGUCCAGGGCAUCCCAUGGAUUCCCCAUGACAAGGUGGCAGAGAAGCUCCUGGGACAGGAAGUAAGCACUAUGGCAGAGGAUUGAUUCUACUGCCACUGUACCUGGGUAAGAAUGCUGGCACUGCCAUCUGUGUAACCUUGGGCAAGAUAUUUAACCUCUCUCUGCCUUUCUUUGUAUGGAAAAUGGGAUGAGAGUAACAGUCAUUGCAUCAUAGGGUUUUCCUGACUUAACACAUUAAAAAUGCUUAGACCAAUGCUUGGCUCAAGGGAAAAUGCUUGCUGAGCAUUAGACACCAUUGCUGGGUUUCUCAAAGUUUGGGUUUAGGACCUAAACUUGAUGUUGGAAGCAACUGGCAGCCCCUCAUGUGUUGAGCAUAGGCUGAUGUGAUCAGAGCCUAGUUUUAGGAUGGUUAACCUGCCAGCCUGUUUUGGACAUAGCCAGAGGCUCCUGAAGUGAAAGCAGGGGAUUGUAUGUCGAGGUAUGCAGGAUCUAACAAAUCCCAUGUUCACAGGUUUAGCUAACUGAUGACCAAGUUCUCUAAGGAUCCACAGGGAGAUGAAGAAGAAUUCCUUGACAUUGCCUACCUUCCUUCAGUCCCCAAGGAUUCUGAUAUCAGACAACAGCAUCUCAUGCUCUAGGGACUGGGAAACAAAAUGAAGCCUGCUGUUCACGUUAUUUAGUGAUUGACAUGGUUGAAGGAACACAGGUUUAGGCUUCUAGAUCAGCAUUUGUGUCUUGGCUUUGGUUGCCUUUGGCAAGUUCUUUAUCUCGCUGAGAUUUAUGAAGGUUAUUUUCUAUAAAAUAGGGAAAACGUGUUGACGUCUUAGUAUUUUUGAAGAAUUAAUGAGGCAGUCCUGUACAGACCCUGGUACAAGGUGGAACUAUCAGUAGGCUUUCAGCAGUGUUUUAAAGUGAGUAUAACGUGCCUUUUAUUACUAUUGUUAUCAUUACUUUAUAGGGUUUCGUAAGGGGUAAAAAGAUGAGGUAUAUAAACCGCCUAGGAUGAUUUGUAUUCGGUGUCUUGUAUAUAGUAGGCUCUUAAUAAAUAACAGUUUUCAUCUGUCUUAUCCUCCCAUUGGGCUGCUUGCCUUUGCUCCAGGGUCUGUGCUGUUGCCAAUGUCAGGCAAGGCUUAUCAACCCCAUCUAUCUCUAGCUCAUUGUCCAAGAGAGUGUGCAUUUUCUUUGCUUUUGGUUUUCUAAUGCCCAGGAUGACUUCCCCCAAGCAGUGUCAACAGCCCCUUUGAGGUUUCCACUGGCUUGGCAGCGGCACUGCCUCUUAUUCUCAGUGAUGUACACAUCAGCAGCUGCAGUUUCUCAUGGACGCAAGCCUGUGUGAUCUCAGCUGGACAUGCUACCUCUGACCAUUUCCCUGGCCUGUCUCAGGACUCUUGGGACAGAAUCAACUUUGUUGCAGAGUCUUUGCUGAAGCUCUGAAGAGUUGCCCAGUUUAAGGAUAAAGCGCAUUUUCUAUCCAAAAUUGAGGACUGGCUUUAAGCACCUCUCUCAACUUUUGUGUAUGGCUUUAUGUUUGUAAAAGUCCCUUCCCAUCAUUUAUCAUCUGUGCAAGCACAACUGUUUAUAUAAAAUAUAUAUAGCUGCUAACAAAUGCCCCGUAUUGGAAUGCACAGUUCUGUGUUAAACUAAUCUGCUCCUCCAAAAAGGAUCUUGUGAAUUCACUCACCAGAUUUAUAUUGAGGAGUUGACUGAAAUCAGUUGAGGCACUGAGGACACAGGCUACCAGAGAGGUUAGUGCAAGAAAGGCCAGUUCUCGAAGGAAAAGUUUUGCUAGGUUAGUCUUUUGCUUGACAAAUAUUUAUUGAGCAACUAUUACAUGCCAGGCAUUUCUUCUAGGUGCUAAAGGUAAAAUAGGGAACAAAUAGACAAAAAUUUUUGCCCCAGUGGAGCUUCCAUCCUAGAAGCGGAGGCAGAAAUGAAACUAAGUAAGUAAAAUAUGUAAUGUGUUAGAUACUAGUAAGUGUUAAGGAAACAAAGGGUUAUAAAUUGCUGGAGCCAUGGGUGUUGGGGAUGGCUGUAGUGGUGGUAAGGACUGAAAUUUAUCGAUCACUCUGUUGGAUGUGGUCACUGCCCUCAUGGGAGUGUGGUGGGAGGUGUGGGCUGCCCACCAAAAUGUCUUCUUUCCUUCUUCUACGGUGAUAUGACCACAGUUGGGACAGAUGUGGGUUGCAAGCCAGGCUCUGUAUUUUGCAGCCCCAUCUUGGAAUUAGAUGUGGCCAUGGGGUUCAGUUCCCUCAGUGCAAUUCGACAAGUGGCUUCAGCCACACCACAGGGGCUACCUCCUUCACAUAUGCCCCUUCCCUGCCUUCCCCUGGGCUUGAGUGAUGAACACCAGGGCCACCUGCAAAGGCAGGCUUGGCAGAUGCCAGAUCCAAGGUCAGCCCAAGUCCUUAAAUGACCAUAGGAGGACAGCUGCCCACUGACCUGCGAUACCCACUCUGGACCAUUAGUGAGAAAGAAACAUCUUGUUAGUAACAUUCUAUUGUGGGGGUUCUAGUUGCCAGGGCAGUUUAACACUAACAAAUAUAUGGAGCACUCCUAUAAUGUAUCUUUGAAGGUAAUAACAUGAUUGAUUGCUAUAUUUCAGUCACAUGGAAAAAAAGAGCUAUGAUAGCAGAGAAGGGGAUUGCCUAAUUCUUUCAGCUUGGGCGGAUUAGGGUCAAAUUGGGAAAGGUAUGACAAAGGAGAUGAUAUUUGAGCUGAAUUGAAAAGAAUGAACAAGAUUUCAUUUCAGGGAGGAAAAGGAAAAAGUGCACUGCAAAUUCAAGUCAGAGUCUGAAUAAAAGCUCAGAGGCAUGAAAGUGUCUAUUUUGUGUUAUCUCUGUGUGUGUGCUGCUAGUCUUUGUAAGUUUUUUUUUUUUUUUUUUUUUUUUUUUUUGUCUUUUUAGGGCCAUACCCACGGUAUAUGGAAGUUUGAUCCCUGGCCUCACUUAGUGGGUUAAGGACCUGGUGUUGCUGUGAGCUGUGGUGUAAUUUGCAGAUGCGGCUUGGAUCCAGCAUUUCUGUGGUUGUGCUGUAGGCUUGUGGUUACAGCUCCAGCUUGGACCCCUAGCCUGGGAACCUCCAUAUGCCAUGCAUGUGGCCAUAAAAAGACAAACAAAAAACAAAACCCCAAAAAACCUGACAUAGUUUCUGUGAGGAUGUGG
rnacentral:lncRNA from 1 species